CCUACGGGAGGCAGCAGUGAGGAAUAUUGGUCAAUGGUCGAGAGUCUGAACCAGCCAAGUAGCGUGAGGGAUGAAUGUCCUGUGUAUCGUAAACUUCUUUUGUCUGGGAAUAAAGAGUUGCACGCGUGGGCUGAUGAGUGUACCUUAUGAAUAAGCAUCGGCUAACUCCGUGCCAGCAGCCGCGGUAAUACGGAGGAUGCGAGCGUUAUCCGGAUUUAUUGGGUUUAAAGGGAGCGCAGGGGGUCUGUUAAGUCAGUGGUGAAAGGUCGGGGCUCAACCGUAAGAUCGCAGUUGAAACUGGCAGUCUUGAGUUCAGGAGAGGUAGGCGGAAUGCGUGGUGUAGCGGUGAAAUGCUUAGAUAUCGCGCAGAACUCCGAUUGCGAAGGCAGCACACUGG
rnacentral:rRNA from 1 species